rnacentral:rRNA from 1 species
ACUCCUACGGGAGGCAGCAGUGAGGAAUAUUGGUCAAUGGAGGCAACUCUGAACCAGCCAUGCCGCGUGCAGGAAGACUGCCCUAUGGGUUGUAAACUGCUUUUUAUACAGGAAGAAACAGUCGUACGAGUACGACCUUGACGGUACUGUAAGAAUAAGCACCGGCUAACUCCGUGCCAGCAGCCGCGGUAAUACGGAGGGUGCAAGCGUUAUCCGGAAUCAUUGGGUUUAAAGGGUCCGCAGGCGGUCAAUUAAGUCAGAGGUGAAAUCCCCAUAGCUUAACUAUGGAACUGCCUUUGAUACUGGUUGACUUGAGUUAUACGGAAGUAGAUAGAAUAAGUAGUGUAGCGGUGAAAUGCAUAGAUAUUACUUAGAAUACCGAUUGCGAAGGCAGUCUACUACGUAUAUACUGACGCUCAUGGACGAAAGCGUGGGAGCGAACAGGAUUAGAUACCCCGUGGUAGGAUAGCG